rnacentral:tRNA from 1 species
GGUCUCGUAGCUUAGUUGGUUAGAGCGUGGCUCUUAUGAGUUGAAGGUCGCGAGUUCGAACCUCGUCGCGACCA